rnacentral:rRNA from 1 species
GACGAACGCUGGCGGCGCGCUUAACACAUGCAAGUCGAGCGAAGCGGCGGACGGGUGAGUAACACGUGAGUAACCUGCCUUAGACAUUGGGAUAGCCUCGGGAAACCGGGAUUAAUACCAAAUGGUCUAAGAUGGACUCGCGUCGCAUUAGUUAGUUGGUGAGGUAACGGCCCACCAAGGCGACGACGGGUAGCCGGCCUGGGAGGGUGGACGGACACAUUGGAAGUGAGAAACAGUCCAAAAGAGACGGGAGGCAGGAGUGGGGAAGAGAGCAAAAUGGAGGGAACUCUGAAGCAGCGAGGCGGCGUGAACAAAGAAGGCUGUGGAGUAGGAAAGGUGUUUUAUAUGGGAAGCGGUACCAUAAGAAAAAGCCCCGGCUAACUACGUGCCAGCAGCCGCGGUAAUAC